rnacentral:rRNA from 1 species
CCUACGGGAGGCAGCAGUGAGGAAUAUUGGUCAAUGGCCGCAGGGCUGAACCAGCCAAGUCGCGUGAGGGAUGACGGUCCUAUGGAUUGUAAACCUCUUUUGUCAGGGAGCAAAGGGCGCCACGUGUGGCGUUUUGCGAGUACCUUACGAAAAAGCAUCGGCUAACUCCGUGCCAGCAGCCGCGGUAAUACGGGGGAUGCGAGCGUUAUCCGGAUUUAUUGGGUUAAAAGGGUGCGCAGGCGGAAUGUCAAGUCAGCGGUAAAAUCUCGGGGCUCAACCCCGUCGUGCCGUUGAUACUGGCGGUCUUGAGUGAGCGAGAGGUAUGCGGAAUGCGUGGUGUAGCGGUGAAAUGCAUAGAUAUCACGCAGAACUCCGAUUGCGAAGGCAGCAUACCGGCGCGCAACUGACGCUCAUGCACGAAAGUGUGGGUAUCGAACAGGAUUAGAUACCCGAGUAGUC